AUGCAUGCACUCAACAUGUUUCUGGAGUAUAUUGCCAAAGAGAAAGACACAAUGGUAGAACACAUGUUGUAGUUGGUUUAGUGAUGGGAAGCAGAGAGUAAAAAGGAUCCUUAGUUGUGGAAGAA